ensembl:snRNA U6 U6 spliceosomal RNA
GUGCUCGCUUCAGCAGCAUAUACACUAAAGUUGGAACAAUACAGAGAAGCUUAGCAUGGGCCCUGCGCAAGGAUGACAUGCAAAUUCAUGAAGCAUUCCAUAUUUUU